CCCGCGGUAGCUCAGCUUGGUAGAGCUUCCGGCUGUAGACCGGAGUGUCGCAGGUUCAAAUCCUGCCCGCGGGA
rnacentral:tRNA from 1 species